rnacentral:tRNA from 1 species
GGGUGCUUAGCUCAGUUGGUAGAGCGGCGCCUUUACACGGCGUAGGUCACAGGUUCGAGUCCUGUAGCACCCACCA